rnacentral:tRNA from 1 species
GCCCUCAUAGGCUAAUGGAUAGACCGUGAGUUUCCGGAACUUGAGAUGGAGGUUCGAUUCCUCCUGGGGGCA